rnacentral:lncRNA from 1 species
CUGAGAUCCUCAGGAAAUCUCAGUUCUGAGAAAACAGGAGGUCUCCAAGCUGCAGUUUGCAGGGCAAAGAAGCUAAUCUGUUUGUAAGCAUGGAGGCUAAAAGAUUUAUGGAGCUAACUGUGUGGAUGGUGAUGAGGACGGAAGAAGCUGCAACACCUUUUGAAGAACCCACAUAGUUGCAGAAAUACUGAAUAAAUGACUCAACAGGCCUGGAAGUUAAUCAUACACCCUUUUUAUCCCAUGCCCAGAAUUGUCUAGAAUGAGCAGAAAACCUCCACUGGAUGGAGAGGAGCCUGAGGGCCUUCUGCCAGGACUACUUGGAUACAUGUAACAUGCAGCCAUUUCUGAUGGCAAGGAUUAUACUCAUGCCUGCAAUCUUACAAAAAAAGAAUAAAUCUUCUGGAUAUAUGAGAAAAUUCCCCUUUUUUCCUUUUCUAUUUUCCAGGAGGAAUGGCCUUCAAAGUUCAGAGGUAUGCUCUCGAACAGAUAGUAAUUAAUGUUUAAUAUGUCUUAUUUGGGAUUGAGGAAAAUGAAA